rnacentral:rRNA from 1 species
UACGUAGGGGGGCUAGCGUUGUCCGGAUUUAUUGGGCGUAAAGAGCGUGUAGGCGGCCAGAUAGGUCUGCUGUGAAAACUCGAGGCUCAACCUCGAGAUGUCGGCGGAAACCAUUUGGCUAGAGUCCGGAAGAGGAAAGUGGAAUUCCUGGUGUAGCGGUGAAAUGCGCAGAUAUCAGGAGGAACACCGGUGGCGAAGGCGGGUCUCUGGGCCGAUACUGACGCUGAGGAGCGAAAGCGUGGGGAGCAAACAGG